ACGAGGAUAUGUUGCUACUUUAGUUUUCAUGGAUUUAAUGGAAUUGUGAUUGAUUUUAGUCGCAGUGGAUAGGCAUAGAUUCGAUUUUUUCUGAACAACGGAUUUCUGUGCUUCAAAACAAGGUUGAGGUGGUCAUAUAAAUGGAGAGAGGAAGCGAGGAGAGCUACAUGGUGGGUGCUCAACGGAAUCAAUCUGGAGGCGAAUCCUCCGGACCGCCACAAAAUUUAGGAGGAAUAGAGAAGUUAACCAAAGACGAUGCAUUGGCCUAUUUUAAAGCAGUGAAAGAAACGUUCAAAGACAGAAAAGAGAAACACGAUGAAUUUAUUGAAGUAUUGA